rnacentral:rRNA from 1 species
GAUCCUGGCUCAGGACGAACGCUGGCGGCGUGCUUAACACAUGCAAGUCGAACGGAAAGGCCCUGCUUUUGUGGGGUGCUCGAGUGGCGAACGGGUGAGUAACACGUGAGUAACCUGCCCUUGACUUUGGGAUAACUUCAGGAAACUGGGGCUAAUACCGGAUAGGAGCUCCUGCUGCAUGGUGGGGGUUGGAAAGUUUCGGCGGUUGGGGAUGGACUCGCGGCUUAUCAGCUUGUUGGUGGGUAGUGGCUUACCGAAGG